UGCGCGAGUCAUUGGGACUAUCUAAACCUAAAGGCGCAAUGAAAGUGAAGGCCGCUUCGCGCGUGCCUAGGGAGGAUGGGUCGUCGUCCUAGACGCGGCCCCGCACUCCCGGGGCGUCUCGUUCUCAUCGCGAGAUGAGGCGCACCCAGAGCGUACACGCUGGGACCCGAAAGAUGGUGAACUAUGCCUGGUCAGGACGAAGUCAGGGGAAACCCUGAUGGAGGUCCGUAGCGAUUCUGACGUGCAAAUCGAUCGUCGGAACUGGGUAUAGGGGCGAAAGACUAAUCGAACCAUCUAGUAGCUGGUUCCCUCCGAAGUUUCCCUCAGGAUAGCUGGCGCUCGCCUUGCGCGAGUCUCAUCCGGUAAAGCGAAUGAUUAGAGGCAUUGGGGUCGAAACGGCCUCAACCUAUUCUCAAACUUUAAAUGGGUGAGAUCUCCGGCUUGCUUGAACGUGAAGCCGCGAGAUCGGAUCAGAGUGCCAAGUGGGCCACUUUUGGUAAGCAGAACUGGCGCUGUGGGAUGAACCAAACGCCGAGUUAAAGCGCCCAAAUCGACGCUUAUGGGAUACCAUGAAAGGCGUUG
rnacentral:rRNA from 1 species